AUUAAAGUUGCUGCGGUUAAAAAGCUCGUAGUUGGAUUACGAAGUGGUGUUUAAAUGUCAUUUUGGUUUGUUUGUCUUUCGGGGCAUUCAGGUCAACUUGGCUUUUACUCACUGUUGUCAUUGUCUUUGCCCAAGGUAUAUGCCUUGUGUGCAUGGCAUUGACCUUCUAUUUUAUGGUAAUGUUGUAUCUUUCGGGGUACAUUCAUUCCAUAUAGUUUACUUUGAAAAAAUUAGGGUGUUUAAAGCAGGCGAAAAGGCUUCGGAAUAUAUUAGCAUGGGAUAAUAGAAUACGAUCUAGGUCGUAAUUUGUUGGUUUCUACGGCUUAGGUAAUGAUUGACAGGGAUAGUUGGGGUCGCUCGUAUUGAGUUGUCAGAGGUGAAAUUCUAGGAUUAACUCAAGACGAACUAAUGCGAAAGCAUUCGGCAAGGAUGUUUUCAUUAAUCAAGAACGAAAGUUGGGGGAUCGAAGAUGAUCAGAUACCGUCGUAGUCUCAACUGUAAACUAUGUCGACCGAGGAUCCGGUAGCGUUACAUGGAUGACCUUCCGGGCACUCUGUGAGAAAUCAUAAGUAUUUGGAUUUCGGGGGGAGUAUGGUCGCAAGGCUGAAACUUAAAGGGAUUGACGGAAGGGCACCACCAGGAGUGGAAUCUGCGGCUUAAUUUGACCCAACACGGGAAAACUUACCAGGUCCGGACACAGUGAGGAUUGACAGAUUGAGAGCUCUUUCUUGAUUUUGUGGGUGGUGGUGCAUGGCCGUUUUUAGUUGGUGGAGUGAUUUGUCUGGUUAAUUCCGUUAACGAACGAGACCUUAACCUAUUAAAUAGCUGCGCGAACCCAGGUUCUUUAACCAUUCUCUCCUUCGGGGGGGCGUGGUAUCAUUAUUUUGCUUUUCACUUUCGGGUGGGAGGUAGGGUAGUGAUAGGGCCUGAGAUGAGUUGGUGAUUUGGCCUCUUAGAGGGACUACUUGCAUCCUUAGCAAGGGGAGGUUUGAGGCAAAAACAGGUCUGUGAUGCCCUUCGAUGUUCUGGGCUGCACGCGCGUUACACUGGCGCAUGCAAAGAGUUUAAAAUUCCUGUCCCGAUGGGGUUGGGAAAUCUUUUUAAAGUGCGUCGUGAUGGGGAUAGAGCAUUGUAAUUAUUGCUCUUGAACGAGGAAUUCCUAGUAAUUGCAGGUCAUCAACCUGCAAUGAUUACGUCCCUGCCCUUUGUACACACCGCCCGUCGCUCCUACCGAUGGUUGAACCGAUGAGGACUCGGGAUGAUCUUAUUAGAUCGGUCGGUCGAAAGAUCGAUAGACUAUUAGGUCAGAACUUGUUCAAAUCUUUUUAA
rnacentral:rRNA from 1 species